AAGGGUACAGGCAUCAGUAUGAGGUAGGAGCAGACUGAAGGGAGCUUGCUCCCGGAUGUUAGCGGCGGACGGGUGAGUAACACGUGGGUAACCUGCCUGUAAGACUGGGAUAACUCCGGGAAACCGGAGCUAAUACCGGAUAGUUCCUUGAACCGCAUGGUUCAAGGAUGAAAGACGGUUUCGGCUGUCACUUACAGAUGGACCCGCGGCGCAUUAGCUAGUUGGUGGGGUAAUGGCUCACCAAGGCGACGAUGCGUAGCCGACCUGAGAGGGUGAUCGGCCACACUGGGACUGAGACACGGCCCAGACUCCUACGGGAGGCAGCAGUAGGGAAUCUUCCGCAAUGGACGAAAGUCUGACGGAGCAACGCCGCGUGAGUGAUGAAGGUUUUCGGAUCGUAAAGCUCUGUUGUUAGGGAAGAACAAGUGCGAGAGUAACUGCUCGCACCUUGACGGUACCUAACCAGAAAGCCACGGCUAACUACGUGCCAGCAGCCGCGGUAAUACGUAGGUGGCAAGCGUUGUCCGGAAUUAUUGGGCGUAAAGGGCUCGCAGGCGGUUUCUUAAGUCUGAUGUGAAAGCCCCCGGCUCAACCGGGGAGGGUCAUUGGAAACUGGGAAACUUGAGUGCAGAAGAGGAGAGUGGAAUUCCACGUGUAGCGGUGAAAUGCGUAGAGAUGUGGAGGAACACCAGUGGCGAAGGCGACUCUCUGGUCUGUAACUGACGCUGAGGAGCGAAAGCGUGGGGAGCGAACAGGAUUAGAUACCCUGGUAGUCCACGCCGUAAACGAUGAGUGCUAAGUGUUAGGGGGUUUCCGCCCCUUAGUGCUGCAGCUAACGCAUUAAGCACUCCGCCUGGGGAGUACGGUCGCAAGACUGAAACUCAAAGGAAUUGACGGGGGCCCGCACAAGCGGUGGAGCAUGUGGUUUAAUUCGAAGCAACGCGAAGAACCUUACCAGGUCUUGACAUCCUCUGACAACCCUAGAGAUAGGGCUUUCCCUUCGGGACAGAGUGACAGUGGUGCAUGGUUGUCGUCAGCUCGUGUCGUGAGAUGUUGGGUUAAGUCCCGCAACGAGCCGCAACCCUUUGAUC
rnacentral:rRNA from 1 species